GAGCAUUCUUUGCGUAUUUUAAGCGUGGGAGGCCAGCAUUCUUUUCAAACGUUUCAGGAGGUGGUGGGGAAGUGGAUUUUUGGUAAUGAUUUGGAUGUUUGGCCAAUUCUCUAAUGUGAUGGCAUUUGUUGCUCCCAGGUUUAAAAGCAAAUGUGCUGGCAUGGUAGUGCCAGGAGAUUUAAGCCUUUGCUUGCAUUACCAGUUUGUAGGGUAACUUCUCUCAGAUUGCAAUCAUAGGGCUAACAACUUGGCAAUCAUCGUCAGGAAUCUUUAGACCCGCCCCUUUUCCCAGGGUUUUGGAGGGAAAGAGGAGAUUUUGCCCAGUCUCACUGUUGGAAGCCUAGUAGCAGGACGUGUGGGAUUCUCUUUCCCACCUGCACAAAAGCUUCACUUCUCACAGCUUUGCUGGGGGAAUAAAGAAUAGUUCCACAGCACAGUUCCUACAACCUUAGUGGAGCAAAUCAAAGGGACACCUUCCAGUUUGACUGAAUCCACAGCAACCUUGCCUGAGACCCAGGGGCAUAUACUAUCCUCAGCUCUACCUGUGUAAAACUGAAGUAACGCCGCUUGAAUUGGUGAGAAGAAUCCCUGUUUACACUGGUAAUUAGAACUGAGUGUGGCCUUUGGAGCAGCCUGGGAUGUUAAAGAAAUGGAAGGAACCAGUUAUCUCAAUGCCAGAGGAAUGACCGAUGAAGAUGUGCGAAUUAGCAGAGGAGGACAAAUUGGCUAUGGUGAUUAAGGAGAAAUUUUUGACCAUCUUCAAGAAAGAUUGGGACUUGUUUAUUACUUUUUUACAACAACAAUGGAGGCAAGUCUUAACUGUUGGAUUUAUGAAUUAGAUGCAUAUUAUUAACAAUAGAAUAUAAGGUAAAUAUAAAGGUAAGGUAAGGUAAUAUAAAGGUUUUCCCUGACAUUAAGUCUAGUUGGGUCCGACUCUGGGGGUUGGUGCUCAUCUUCAUUUCUAAGCCAAAGAGCCAGCGUUGUCUAUAGACAACGUCCAAGGUCAUGUGGCCGGCAUGACUGCAUGGAGCGCCGUUACCUUCCCGUAUAAGUGGUACCUAUUGAUCUCCUUUCAUUUUCAUGCUUUUGAACUGCCAGCUUGACAGAAGCUGGGGCUAACAGCGGGAGCUCACCCCGCUCCCCAGAUUCAAACUGCCAACCUUUUGGUCAGCAAGUUCAGCAGCUCAGCGGUUUAAUCUGCUGUGCCACCGAGGGCUCCCCCAGUAGAAUAUAGCCAUAUGAUAUCUAAAUGGAGUAGAAUAAUAUGGGAUAAAAAUCAACAGACAGUGAGUGUGAAGUUCAUAGAAUAGUUCCUGUAGUAUGUAUAUGUUAAUUUAAGUUUGUGUUAGUUUAGUGUGUUUGCUUGUUCUAAUUUAGGUCUGUGUUAUAAUGGCUAAUUAGACAGCAACUUUGUUUUAGUGAAACAGGCAGUCCCUGGGUUACGGACAAGAUCGGUUCUGUAGAUUUGUUCUUCAAUUGAAUGUGUAUGUAAGACAGAACAGGUACAUUUUUUAAGUGUGACUCAAGCCAUUUUUUAAAAAGGUUUUGGAUAUCAUAGGGAAGAGUUAACACCCCUGUGGUGUUUGUUUUGCUGUCUGUGCCCCUGUUCAGAAAAUUUCGCCUCACAUUCUGUCCAUGUGAUAAAUGAAUUUUGAAAAUUUUGAGUUGGUGUGGAAACAAGAAUUGGUGAUAAGGCUUCAGUGGAGACACCCGUUUCCCAUGAUCUCUUACAGGAGUGAAUUUCCCUUCCUGGGCAUAAAUUUCCUCUCACUUCCUGAUGUCUCACCCCCCUUUGUAACUAGGAGUCAUAUGUAAGCCUGAUGUUUAUAACUUGGGGACUGCCUAUAUACAUAAUAUAAACAUGAUUUUUGUAUUAUUUCUGUUGUUUGUUUGUUUUUACUAUGUUUUCUUUAUUUCUGAACAAAAAUUAGAAAAAAAUUACUUGGAGUGAGUGAGAGAUGGAUUAUUUCAUCCUGAGUUUAUCAAAAUUACCAGUUCAAAUCAAGUUACCCUACACUUUGAGGCUUGAAACAGAUCUUUUGGCAAGAGCAUAUGGAUGUAGUUUUACUUUUGACAUGUUUAUGUAAGAAGUGUAUGCAUGACCCCCUUGUACAAGCAGUUCACAACAACAACAA